GCCGGGUGUGGUGGUGUGCGCCUGUAAUCCCAGCUACUUGGGAGGCUGAGGCAGGAGAAUCGCUUGAACGUGGGAGGCGGAGGUUGCAGUGAGCCGAGAUCGUGCCAUUGCACUCCAGCCUGGGUGACAGAGUGAAACUCCGUCUCAAAAAAAAAAAAUUAAUAAGUAAAAGAAGAUAGAAAGUGACAAUGAAGUUUAUUAUAUUAAUAUUCUUUAAAAGCAAGUUUUUUUUUUUAAGACAGAGUCUCACUCUGUCACCCAGGCUGGAGUGCAGUGGCACAAUCUCAGCUCACUGCAAACUCUGCUUCCCAGGUUAAAGCAAUUCUCCUGCCUCA
rnacentral:SRP_RNA from 1 species